rnacentral:lncRNA from 1 species
UCAGUGCCCAUCUAAAUACCCAAGUUCCCACUGACGAGAGUACAGUGGUGAUCUGACAUUGUUGUUGUUGUUGUUGUUGUUGUUGUUGUUGUUGCUGUGGCUGCUGCUGUUGUCAGCUCCUCCCAGGUUUGACCUGCAGGGGAAGGUGAAACACCAGAUGGAACUGAGGGCAGGCGCUUCUCUCUGCAUUCCCGUCACCUUCACGGGAUCGCCUCCCCCUGAGGUGACCUGGCUGAAGGACGGAAUCCCCACCAGUGGCCGAGAGGUCAUCACCAAGAGCAACAAGCACUCGCAGUUCCUUAUCAGGACCUCCCGCCAGUCUGACUCAGGCAUCUACCGCGUCAACCUGCGAAACGAACACGGAGAGGUCAACUACGACAUUAACGUCCGGGUCAAAGGCAAGAACCACCUCAUCACGUCCUCUCACACACACACUCUAUCUCUCUCUCUCACUCACUCACACACACACACACACACAGACACACACACACACACACACACAUUACUGGACAAUUUUUUGUCAGAGAUAGCAUUACAUUUUACAUGCUAAUGCACUACUGGACUACUUUUAGAAAGGGUUCCUAAGGUAAACAAUGCCCUCAUCUUUCUGCACCUUGUGUGUGUGAUGCACCCUCCCUCUCCACCCUCCCGUCAGACUUCCCCCGGCCCCCGCGGAACCUGCACCUGCUGGAGGAGGUCCCGGGCACGGUCACCCUGCUGUGGGAGCACACCCCGGACCUGGCCGACGACCCGGAGGCCCAUUACCUCAUCCUGAAGCGCGACGCCAGCACGGCCACCUGGUACACCGCCGCUGAGCGCGUGUUCAGCAACAAGUACACCAUCACCGGCCUGCUGCCUGGACGCAAGUAUUACUUCCGGGUCGUUGCUCGCAACAGCAUUGGAGACAGUGACCCGCUCGACUCGAAGGAUCCUUUCAGUAUCGCCAGAGAGAAAGGUACGGACAGAUAGAGGGGAGAUUGGCAGAAAUUCACAGGUGUGUGUGUGUGUGUGUGUGUGUGUGUGUGUGUGUGUCAGUGUGUUAACUACUAAAUUAAAGUCGGUGACCAUGAUAAACAGUAAGUAGUAGUAUACACUCAAAAAAGUGAACUCUGUGAGUUGCUGAAUCAAAUAAAUGUACUUAUAUUCAAUUUAAUUAACA